UACGUAGGGUGCGAGCGUUAAUCGGAAUUACUGGGCGUAAAGUGUGCGCAGGCGGCCGAGCAAGUCGAGUGUGAAAGCCCCGAGCUUAACUUGGGAACUGCGCUCGAAACUACUUGGCUAGAGUGCGGCAGAGGGGGAUGGAAUUCCGCGUGUAGCAGUGAAAUGCGUAGAUAUGCGGAGGAACACCGAUGGCGAAGGCAAUCCCCUGGGCCUGCACUGACGCUCAUGCACGAAAGCGUGGGGAGCAAACAGG
rnacentral:rRNA from 1 species